rnacentral:rRNA from 1 species
UGGGGAAUAUUGGACAAUGGGCGCAAGCCUGAUCCAGCCAUGCCGCGUGAGUGAUGAAGGCCCUAGGGUUGUAAAGCUCUUUUGUGCGGGAAGAUAAUGACGGUACCGCAAGAAUAAGCCCCGGCUAACUUCGUGCCAGCAGCCGCGGUAAUACGAAGGGGGCUAGCGUUGCUCGGAAUCACUGGGCGUAAAGGGUGCGUAGGCGGGUCUUUAAGUCAGGGGUGAAAUCCUGGAGCUCAACUCCAGAACUGCCUUUGAUACUGAAGAUCUUGAGUUCGGGAGAGGUGAGUGGAACUGCGAGUGUAGAGGUGAAAUUCGUAGAUAUUCGCAAGAACACCAGUGGCGAAGGCGGCUCACUGGCCCGAUACUGACGCUGAGGCACGAAAGCGUGGGGAGCAAGCAGGAUUAGAUACCCCCGUAGUCCCUGAGCGGG